rnacentral:lncRNA from 1 species
AUAGGGACCCUGCUGAGUGUUCUGCCCCCUCCCCCCCCAACCCCAUCUCUGUCUCAUUUCUGUCUCUUGACUCUAGCCCAAAGCGACCCAGGGUCUGCUAGCCUGACCCUGUCCAGGAUGCCAGCCCACGGAAUGGUGCCGCCCACAUCCAGGGUGGUUCCUCCGUCUUUCGUUGAACCUUUCUGGAAACACUCUUGCCAACACCCUCAGAGACGCAUCUCCGUCCGAGGUGAUCCCAAAUCCAGUUCCUAGGUUUGAGCUCAGGUCCUGUGCUUGUACAAGAAUCACUUUACUGACUGAAGUGUUACUCUGCCCAGUUACUGAGUUCUUACAAGAAAAACUAGGGCACUGAACAAGAACUGGACUCUGAAACUUGGAAUGGGCACAUCUGAAUGGGCUGAGGUCGCUGUCCUCUGCAGGGUGCUGCAGCACCCGGUCCAGGUCCCUGAGUGCCCUGUCAUACUCCUGCAGCUGGGUCAAGCAGGCCACCCGGAGACGCAGAUGCGGUCUGUGAAGGGGACACAGGGAAAAAGAGCGCAGAGUGAAGUCUGUGGACAUAGUCAGCCUCUGCUGGUGUCUGGUCCUCGCCCUGUGCAGAAGACACCCACACUCUGGAGGCCUGGUCAUGGGUAGGGGUAAGGGACUGGUUUCCUCCUGUGACUGAGGGCUGCGGCUGGCCCAGCAUGUCCACCUCCCCAUAGUCCCUGAAGGCAACGUUGUUUCCCGAGCAGAGGCAGGUUUGCACCCGAAGUUGCUAAGCAUCUUCAUCUCCCCUCCCUGAUCCUGUUUCUCUAGGCCACUAUGAAGGCAGGCAACUUCAUCUCAUCAUAAAUUCGUUAGACUCACAGAAUUCCUCCUCUGCUCAAUAACCUACAACGGUUCCACAGAACCUGAGAUGGGCCUCUGGGUCCCUCCCUCCCCCUUUUAACUGCAUCCAGUCUCACAGCAUACAACACCAUAAACUCUAAAGCCUUCAGAGGCAGGUAAAGCUCCGAGCAUCCCGGGCCGAGUCACUCCUAUAGGGGAUAAACACCACAGAUGUUUUUGCUAGGAGGGCUGAAGGGUUCUGGGGGCCUAUAGGGAGAGGACCUGCUUUCCAGCAUGGAUUGCAGUGCCAUCUCCCGACACUAGACUGAAGGCUCGCACAUGAGCACCCGCUUUUCUUGUUCCCUGCUGUGUGACCCUGCCAGAGCCUCUUGCCCUCCUUGCUGCAUGGUCCACGUGGCUGCUGGAUACAGAUAGAAGGGAUUCAAAAGCU